UUGGUUCAGUACAGCAGCAGAUUCUGCUGAAAUAAUCUGAUGGAUGCAGUGAGAUUCAGCAUUUUACUGCUUCUGCCAUGUUUUGGCUGCCAUCUGGACUCUGAAGAGACUCUUGUAAAAACAAUCGGGAAAGAAUCUGAAUUCACUCCAAUCUGCACCAACGAAACAUCAAAUAUCAUCAUAUUGAUUGUGUGUAGAAUCAGAACAGAGAGGAACAAUGGAGAGCAGUGCAGUCUGCUAUAUAUGGACGGAGGUGACUUUGUUCAUGAGUGUGACUCCAGGUUUUCACUGAAAACCAGGAAUCAAACUGUGUUUCUGCACCUGACCAGUUUAACAGCAGCUGAUAGUGGGAACUAUUCCUGUGAGUGUUCAAAUCUUGAUGGAACAUAUUUUCUUCAUCUCAGCAUCACAGUUAAUGACUCAAAUCCCGAUGAGAAUCUAUCAGAUGAAGUUUGGAGCCAGUCUGUAGGAGUGACUCUUCCUUCUGCUUUGACUGCUGCAGCUUUAUUAGUUUUCAUAGUUUCAGUUAUUCUGGGAUUUAUUUACAGAAGACAUCAACAUCGAGAGCAACCGGAGUCAUGCAUUCAUCAUCUAGAAGAGGACUUGACUGAAAUUGAGCCGUACAUCUCCUACACUCAGAAGAAAAAUUCACUUUAUUCAACAGGCAUAUUGCACAGCUGUCAAAUUAAUUCUGACUAUUCAAAUAUUGUCUAAUGAAUGGAUAAAUUUACCAUCACAGUUCUUGGGUGUUUGGAUGUUUUUCUUUUGUAUUUCUGAUCAUUUCCUUCUGAUUUAUUUAUGUUGAAUGGGUCUUGCUGUAUUCGGUUUAUUUCCCAGUGUUUAUUAAUGUUGUUGUCAUAUAAGUUCCUUUGUGCUUAGUUUCUUAUUGUGUUAGUUUUUUUGUUCAUUUGGAUUCAUUCCUCUGAGAUCUUUUUCACUUGGCUUGUUGCUUUUCUGAGUUUUAGUUCAUCUUUCUGGACUCUCCCUCUGUUUCUCUGCCUUCUGUCUCUUCCUCAGCUGUCAUUUGCCACCCUCGCUUCCUUAUAAAGGCAUGUUCAUAUAAUAUAUAAUAUAUAAUAUAUGUAUGUACAUCCUUUAACAUGUUUCCAGAAAUUUUUACAUGUCGUUUCUUCAUAAAUGUCCAAAAACAACCAAGCAAACACAAAGAAAAGUUUCUAUUUUUGGUCAUUUCUAAAGAAAAAAAUCUCCAAGAUGCUCAACACAUUGCCAUUCACUAAAGCUGAUGAUGGAUUGUGUAAAAAUAGGUUGGAAUAAACAUUUGACGCUGCUCAUUUUUAUUUAGUGUAGAAAAACACACUGAAAACAUUUUAGCUGAUCGAUGCCUCAUGAAUUUAGAAAAAGAAGUUAAGAGUCAGGCUUGGUUAGACCAUGAUCAGCCUCAACCACCUUUAAACCACAUUUAGACAUCAGUUGACAUCUUUAUGUUUUUUAUGGGACAUCUUUUCAUCUUUCACUUUUUAACUGCGUUGAUCAAGAACUACAAGAACUAGAACACGGUGUCUCUUCUCUGCCAUUUCAAAAAGGUUUCUUUUUGUUUUGUUACAUAAAUGUUAUAGUUACUUGACAAAAGCUCCACAUUGAAACAUCUUUACAUUUUUUUCUUUAAAGUUGUUGAAACACUCAGUAAAUCAAA